rnacentral:lncRNA from 1 species
CGCUGAGGGAGCGUUGACAGGGAAGCAGCCGGAUGAUUGUUAGCUCCAUAAGACUUGAGACUAUGUCUGUUUUGGUCUCCAUCAUCUAACCAGCACAGUACCUGGUACAUAAUUGGCAUUCAGAUCUGCAGAAAAGGCUGUCUUGGAACAAUUUGGAUUCCCUUUAACUGGAACAGAGGUAGAUUCUUCAAGUUUACACUCCUAGCAUCAUUGUUUCUUCUCUCUCUCAACCUUCACCUAUGGCUGGUCUUGAAUUUCUGGGUUCAAGUGACCCUCCUGCCUCAGCCUCCUGAGUAGCUGGGAUUACAGGUGAUGCAGACAGAAAGCAUUGUAAAUUUAAGCCUGAUCCCAAUAUCCCUCCAACCUUCAGUGCCUUCAAUGAAGAUUAUGUUGGAAGUGGGUGGUCACGAGGACACAUGGCUCCAGCAGGAAAUAACAAAUUUUCAAAAAGCCAUGGCUGAAACCUUUUACCUUUCUAACAUUGUGCCUCAGGAUUUUGAUAAUAAUUCUGGAUAUUGGAACAGAAUAGAAAUGUACUGUCGAGAGCUGACAGAAAGGUUUGAAGAUGUUUGGGUGGUAUCUGGGCCUUUGACCUUACCUCAGACUAGAGGCGAUGGAAAGAAAAUAGUUAGUUACCAGCUGAGGUCAUCCCUGUGCUUUCUCUGAUGUUCCUGUUUCAAGAAGAGGUUGAUUCCAGACAAGUGAAACAUACCUGAAGAUUCUGGUUUGGACAUUAUAAAUGGUCUGACAAGAAAGUGAGCUUCAGAUUUUAGAACUCAGUGAUGGUGGUAAUGUUAGAAAUAUUUAACAAUCUGUGUUCUUUUAUAACAGCACUUUGCAAACUUCCAUUAUACUAACCCUAAAGGGGAGGAAAUUGAAAAUGCCCUCAGGAGUCUUGAGACAUCAUUUGAAGUGAUAUGGGAGUAAUAUUUUUUUUUAAGUCUCUUGCUUUAUAUUUAGGGAAAGCUUUUGUUCAUUUCCAUAUCUAUUUGUUUUAAUGAAAGUUAAAUUAUUUUACUGGUUGUCUCCCUACCCUCACCCUAAAUUUUCAAGUACCAUUGACAGCCUAGAAAGAGGGUGCUUGUUUUACUGUGACUUAGUAGGCUGCUACCCUUUGGCCUGGAACAGGUACCCCAGUGUGAGAAGUACCGUCUUCCAGGGUUUGUGCUGCCACAAAAGCAUCUGCUGAGGCUCUAUAGAUAACACAGGGGGCGACCACAUUCUUGUUGACUUUACCACACUUUGUGACUCCCUCACUUUUCAUGUUCC